GAUGAACGCUAGCGGCAGGCUUAACACAUGCAAGUCGAGGGGUAGUCUAGCAAUAGAUGAGACCGGCGCACGGGUGCGUAACGCGUAUGCAACCUACCUUUUACAGGGGGAUAGCCCAGAGAAAUUUGGAUUAAUACCCCAUGGUAUAAUUGAAUCGCAUGGUUUAAUUAUUAAAGUUCCAACGGUAAAAGAUGGGCAUGCGUCCUAUUAGCUAGAUGGUAAGGUAACGGCUUACCAUGGCUACGAUAGGUAGGGGUCCUGAGAGGGAGAUCCCCCACACUGGUACUGAGACACGGACCAGACUCCUACGGGAGGCAGCAGUGAGGAAUAUUGGACAAUGGGCGCAAGCCUGAUCCAGCCAUGCCGCGUGCAGGAAGACGGUCCUAUGGAUUGUAAACUGCUUUUGUACGGGAAGAAACACUCCCUCGUGAGGGAGCUUGACGGUACCGUAAGAAUAAGGAUCGGCUAACUCCGUGCCAGCAGCCGCGGUAAGAC
rnacentral:rRNA from 1 species